ensembl:lncRNA
GUGGGACUUGUAGACCAGAGAGGAGGAACGAGUGGUGUCUUGAUAUGUGGUGGGACAAGAGAAGCCCCAUGAUGUCCCUAGAAUCACAUCAUGUAAAUUCUCUUCUGCUCCAUUUCUGCAUAGAUCUUGUCUUCACACCAUUUAUUUCUUCAAAAGUUAUUUACUGAGUACCUACUAUGUGCCAGGCAGCAUGCUAGCGGCUUAGGACACAUCUGUGAACAAAACAGACAGAAGCCCCUGAUCUUGUGAGACUUACAUUCUAGAAGGGAGUGGCAGAGAACAAACAGUAGAUAUUAUAAAUGAUAAAUGGAUAAAUUAAAUAGUCUUUUAGAUGAUGAUAAAUGAUACAGAAAACAACAGAUCAGGGUAAGAAAGAUUAGGAAUGCUGAGAAGCAGGUCUUCGCAGGUGGAAUAGAGUGUUCAGGGGGGACUCACUGAGAAGGUGGCAUUUGAAUGAAGACUUGCAGGUAAUAAGGGAAAAAGCCACUCAGAUUUUUGGAAGAAGACCAAUCCACAAAGAUAGAUGAGCCAAGGUAAAGGCUUUAAUGUAGGAACAUGUGUAGAAUAUUUGGAGCAGAGUACAAGGCCAGUGAAGCAGGAGGAGAAGACUAAAAGGUGAAGUCAGAGAUGGAACCAGGAGUUAAACCACGUAGUGACUUGUCAGUCAUUGUUUGGACUCUCACUUUCCUUCUGAUUGAAAUGGGGAGGCAUUGCAGGACCUUAACCAGAGGACAGAAAUGGUAUGGCUGAUAUUUUAACUAAUCACUUUGGUUGCACUGUUGAGAAUAGGCAGUCAGGGAGCAGGAGAGAGAGGGAGAUUGUUAGGAGGCAAUGUCAAUAACCAAGGCAGGGACGGUGGUAGCGUGGAACAGUGGAGAAGUGGUCAUAGUCUGGAUACAGGACUUCCUGAUGUAAUAGAUACGGAAUACAAGAGAAAGAGAAGUCACGAAUGACUUCAAUGUCUUUGGUGUAAUUAAGUGGAAGAUUGGAGUUGUCAUCAACUGAGAUGUGAAAGACUGAAGAAGCAGCAGAACGGGAGGUGGACCAAGAGCUCAACGCUGGUGCCAGGAGCUGUGUUAGGCACGAUGAAGACACAAAAAGAAAAGAACACCCUAGAAGCUCAUGGAGGAGAGUUGCUGGGACCAACGAUAGCCAGCUUAAAAGAACAACAAUAACAAGAGGACAUUGAUGGAAUUUACUGCGAGGAAGCGGAAGAGUUUCCAGAAUCAAAGACAAGACUGAAGACCCAUGCAGGGCAGGCCAAGGAGUGAGGCACUCCAGGAACGUAGUGACGGGAAGCCUCGUCCAAGCCCAGCCCUGGAGGGCUUGAAUUCUUCGGCUUACUCCAGUCUUCAUUUAUCCCAACACUGGGAUACAAGGUUUCCGAGGCCACUUUUUUCUAUGAAAUUCUCCACGUUUUUUGACUUAAAGAAAAACUUUCAUCUUUCAGUAAAGAAUCCAUCCAAAUUUGAAGAAGAGGAUUAAAAAGUUCAGAUGUUAUUCCAAACGGAUGUUAAAAAAACAGCCAAACUAUCAGAAAUGAAGGACGGCAAGCAAUUAUUUGAAGCAGCUGGGUUACAAGAAGGACUUCUCACAUGUUAUUACACGCAAAGGAAUUAUGGAUUAUGGAAAGAUGAGCAAUAUAAUUAUGCUCAUGGAGUGUCACAUUAAUUUUUAAGAAAUCCAGACAAUCAGCUUGUCAUGAAAGACUGUUGGGAUUUCACUUGAGAUUGCACUGAAUUUAUAGAUUAAUUUGGAAAAAUUCGCAUUUUUUUACAACAUUGAGUCUUCCUAUCUAGCAACAUGAUAUAGAUCUCCAUUUAUUCAACACGGACACCUGCCACAGCAUGGCUUGACAAGCAGUGAUUGGGUCUGCACCCGGGGUCUGAACCGGUGAACCCCAGGCCUCUGAAAUGGGACAUGCGAACUUAACAGCUGUGCCACCGGACCAGCCCCAACAAUAUCUUCUGAGUGCCAAUACAUGCAGGAAACUAAGAGAGAUUUGAGAGGAACCAAGAGUGGAGAGGAAGACUGGCCCUGAGCUAACAUCUGUGCCUAUCCUCCUCCACUUUAUAUGUGGGACGCCUACCACAGCAUGGCUUGCCAAGCAGUGCCAUGUCCGCACCCGGGAUCCGAACUGCUGAACCCUGGGCCACCAAAGUGGAACGUGCGCAUCCAACUGCUGUGCCACCAGACUGGCCCCACUAUGGACAUUUCUUAUACCUAUAUUUGAAUAUACACAUAUCUGCAUUUCUCUUGGUUAUAUAAUUUGGAAUAGAAUUGUUGGACCCAGGGCAUUUUUGCCAAUUUUAAUUUCAAUAGAUACUGCUAAUCA